rnacentral:rRNA from 1 species
AUUGAACGCUGGCGGCGUGCCUAACACAUGCAAGUCGAGCGGUAACAGGUGUAGCAAUACAUGCUGACGAGCGGCGGACGGGUGAGUAACGCUUGGGAAUCUGCCUAUUAGUGGGGGACAACCCGGGGAAACUCGGGCUAAUACCGCAUACGCACUACGGUGGAAAGCCGGGGACCGCAAGGCCUGGCGCUAACAGAUGAGCCCAAGUCGGAUUAGCUAGUUGGUAGGGUAACGGCCACCAAGGCGACGAUCCGUAACUGGUCUGAGAGGACGACCAGUCACACCGGAACUGAGACACGGUCCGGACUCCUACGGGAGGCAGCAGUGGGGAAUAUUGGACAAUGGGCGAAAGCCUGAUCCAGCGACGCCGCGUGGGUGAAGAAGGCCUGCGGGUUGUAAAGCCCUUUCAGUGGGAAGAAAAGCCUCGAGCUAACACCUCGGGGUCUUGACGUAACCCAUAGAAGAAGCACCGGCUAACUCUGUGCCAGCCGCCGCCGUAAC